UACGGAGGGCGCAAGCGUUGUUCGGAAUCACUGGGCGUAAAGCGCGUGUAGGCGGCUUGGCAAGUCGGGUGUGAAAUCCCGAGGCUCAACCUCGGAACUGCACUCGAAACUGCCUGGCUCGAGUCCCGGAGAGGGUGGCGGAAUUCCCGGUGUAGGGGUGAAAUCCGUAGAUAUCGGGAGGAACACCAGUUGCGAAGGCGGCCACCUGGACGGUGACUGACGCUGAGACGCGACAGCGUGGGGAGCGAACCGG
rnacentral:rRNA from 1 species